rnacentral:rRNA from 1 species
AUGAACGCUGGCGGUAUGCUUAACACAUGCAAGUCGAACGGACUCUUCGGAGUUAGUGGCGGACGGGUGAGUAACGCGUGAGAAUCUGGCUUUGGGUUCGGGACAACCACUGGAAACGGUGGCUAAUACCGGAUGUGCCGAGAGGUAAAAGAGAAAUUGCCUGAAGAUGAGCUCGCGUCUGAUUAGCUAGUUGGUGAGGUAAAGGCUCACCAAGGCAGCGAUCAGUAGCUGGUCUGAGAGGAUGACCAGCCACACUGGGACUGAGACACGGCCCAGACUCCUACGGGAGGCAGCAGUGGGGAAUUUUCCGCAAUGGGCGAAGGCCUGACGGAGCAAUACCGCGUGAGGGAAGAAGGCCCUUGGGUUGUAAACCUCUUUUCUUAGGGAAGAACAAAAUGACGGUACCUAAGGAAUCAGCAUCGGCUAACUCCGUG